GACGAACGCUGGCGGCGUGCUUAACACAUGCGAGUCGAACGGAAAGGCCCUGCUUUUGUGGGGUGCUCGAGUGGCGAACGGGUGAGUAACACGUGAGUAACCUGCCCUUGACUUUGGGAUAACUUCAGGAAACUGGGGCUAAUACCGGAUAGGAGCUCCUGCUGCAUGGUGGGGGUUGGAAAGUUUCGGCGGUUGGGGAUGGACUCGCGGCUUAUCAGCUUGUUGGUGGGGUAGUGGCUUACCAAGGCUUUGACGGGUAGGCGGCCUGAGAGGGUGACCGGCCACAUUGGGACUGAGGUACGGACCAGACUCCUACGGGAGGCAGCAGUGGGGAAUAUUACACAAUGAGCGGAAGCCUGAUGCAGCAGCGCCGCGUGCGGGAUGACGGCCUUCGGGUUGUAAACCGCUUUCGCCUGUGACGAAGCGUGAGUGACGGUAAUGAGUAAAGAAGCACCGGCUAACUACGUG
rnacentral:rRNA from 1 species